rnacentral:rRNA from 1 species
AGUCGAGGGGCAGCAUGGUCUUAGCUUGCUAAGGCUGAUGGCGACCGGCGCACGGGUGAGUAACACGUAUCCAACCUGCCGUCUACUCUUGGCCAGCCUUCUGAAAGGAAGAUUAAUCCAGGAUGGCAUCAUGAGUUCACAUGUCCGCAUGAUUAAAGGUAUUUUCCGGUAGACGAUGGGGAUGCGUUCCAUUAGAUAGUAGGCGGGGUAACGGCCCACCUAGUCAACGAUGGAUAGGGGUUCUGAGAGGAAGGUCCCCCACAUUGGAACUGAGACACGGUCCAAACUCCUACGGGAGGCAGCAGUGAGGAAUAUUGGUCAAUGGGCGAUGGCCUGAACCAGCCAAGUAGCGUGAAGGAUGACUGCCCUAUGGGUUGUAAACUUCUUUUAUAAAGGAAUAAAGUCGGGUAUGCAUACCCGUUUGCAUGUACUUUAUGAAUAAGGAUCGGCUAACUCCGUGCCAGCAGCCGCGGUAAUACGGAGGAUCCGAGCGUUAUCCGGAUUUAUUGGGUUUAAAGGGAGCGUAGAUGGAUGUUUAAGUCAGUUGUGAAAGUUUGCGGCUCAACCGUAAAAUUGCAGUUGAUACUGGAUGUCUUGAGUGCAGUUGAGGCAGGCGGAAUUCGUGGUGUAGCGGUGAAAUGCUUAGAUAUCACGAAGAACUCCGAUUGCGAAGGCAGCCUGCUAAGCUGCAACUGACAUUGAGGCUCGAAAGUGUGGGUAUCAAACAGGAUUAGAUACCCUGGUAGUCCACACGGUAAACGAUGAAUACU